UACGUAGGGUGCAAGCGUUAAUCGGAAUUACUGGGCGUAAAGCGUGCGCAGGCGGCUAUGCAAGACAGAUGUGAAAUCCCCGGGCUUAACCUGGGAACUGCAUUUGUGACUGCAUGGCUAGAGUACGGUAGAGGGGAUGGAAUUCCGCGUGUAGCAGUGAAAUGCGUAGAUAUGCGGAGGAACACCGAUGGCGAAGGCAAUCCCCUGGACCUGUACUGACGCUCAUGCACGAAAGCGUGGGGAGCAAACAGG
rnacentral:rRNA from 1 species